rnacentral:ncRNA from 1 species
UAGACCGACGCCAAAGUCCCUGAUGAGCAGGCAGCCCACGAGAAGACCAUCACCUCCCUCGGUGCAGCACUCGCCGGAGUCAACAUGAUCUACGGUG